rnacentral:rRNA from 1 species
UACGUAGGGUGCGAGCGUUGUCCGGAAUUAUUGGGCGUAAAGAGCUUGUAGGCGGUCUGUCGCGUCUGCUGUGAAAAUCCGGGGGCUCAACCCCGGACUUGCAGUGGGUACGGGCAGACUAGAGUGUGGUAGGGGGAGACUGGAAUUCCUGGUGUAGCGGUGAAAUGCGCAGAUAUCAGGAGGAACACCGAUGGCGAAGGCAGGUCUCUGGGCAG